rnacentral:rRNA from 1 species
AUUUGAAAGCUGGCCCCCCCCGGGGGUCCGCGUUGUAAUUUGUAGAGGAUGAUUCGGCGAGGGCUCCCGCCUAAGUCCCCUGGAACGGGGCGUCAUAGAGGGUGAGAAUCCCGUAUGCGGUGGGCUGCCUUAGCCAUGUGAAUCUCCUUCGACGAGUCGAGUUGUUUGGGAAUGCAGCUCUAAAUGGGAGGUAAAUUUCUUCUAAAGCUAAAUACCGGCCAGAGACCGAUAGCGCACAAGUAGAGUGAUCGAAAGAUGAAAAGCACUUUGGAAAGAGAGUUAAAAAGUACGUGAAAUUGUUGAAAGGGAAGCGCUUGCAGCCAGACUUGCCCGCAGUUGCUCAGCCGGUCUCCUGACCGGCGCACUCUUCUGCGGCCAGGCCAGCAUCAGUUCGGGCGGUCGGAUAAAGGCCCCGGGAACGUAGCUCCUCUCGGGGAGUGUUAUAGCCCGGGGUGGAAUGCGGCCAGCCUGGACUGAGGAUCUCGCUUCGGCUAGGAUGCUGGCGUAAUGGCUGUAAGC